UGAGGAAUUUUGCGCAAUGGGAGCAAGCCUGACGCAGCGACGCCGCGUGAGGGAAGAAGGCCUUCGGGUCGUAAACCUCUGUCUAGAGGGAAGAAACCAUUGAGGUCGAAUAGGCCUCUUUGCUGACGGUACCUCUGAAGGAAGCACCGGCUAACUCCGUGCCAGCAGCCGCGGUAAUACGGAGGGUGCGAGCGUUAAUCGGAAUCACUGGGCGUAAAGCGCACGUAGGCGGUCUUGUAAGCCAGACGUGAAAGCCCUCGGCUCAACCGGGGAAUUGCGUUUGAUACUGCUCGACUUGAGUAUCGGAGAGGGUGGCGGAAUUCCAGGUGUAGGAGUGAAAUCCGUAGAUAUCUGGAGGAACACCGGCGGCGAAGGCGGCCACCUGGACGAAUACUGACGCUGAGGUGCGAAAGCGUGGGGAGCAAACA
rnacentral:rRNA from 1 species